rnacentral:rRNA from 1 species
UACGUAGGGGGCUAGCGUUGUCCGGAAUCAUUGGGCGUAAAGAGCGCGCAGGCGGUCGUUCAAGUCGCGUGUGAAAGCCCCCGGCUCAACUGGGGAGGGUCACGCGAUACUGAUCGACUCGAAGGCAGGAGAGGGUAGUGGAAUUCCCGGUGUAGUGGUGAAAUGCGUAGAUAUCGGGAGGAACACCAGUGGCGAAGGCGAGUCCCUGGACAACGACUGACACUGAGGCACGAAAGCUAGGGGAGCAAACAGG